rnacentral:rRNA from 1 species
GAUGAACGCUGGCGGCGUGCCUAAUACAUGCAAGUCGAGCGAACGGACGAGAAGCUUGCUUCUCUGAUGUUAGCGGCGGACGGGUGAGUAACACGUGGAUAACCUACCUAUGAGACUGGGAUAACUUCGGGAAACCGGAGCUAAUACCGGAUGAUAUUUUGAACCGCAUGGUUCAAAAGUGAAAGACGGUCUUGCUGUCACUUAUAGAUGGAUUCGCGCUGCAUUAGCUAGUUGGUAAGGUAACGGCUUACCAAGGCAACGAUGCAUAGCCGACCUGAGAGGGUGAUCGGCCACACUGGAACUGAGACACGGUCCAGACUCCUACGGGAGGCAGCAGUAGGGAAUCUUCCGCAAUGGGCGAAAGCCUGACGGAGCAACGCCGCGUGAGUGAUGAAGGUCUUCGGAUCGUAAAACUCUGUUAUUAGGGAAGAACAUAUGUGUAAGUAACUGUGCACAUCUUGACGGUACCUAAUCAGAAAGCCACGGCUAACUACGUG